rnacentral:rRNA from 1 species
GAUGAACGCUGGCGGCGUGCUUAACACAUGCAAGUCGAACGGAGAAGGCGGAGCUUGCUCUGCUGGAUCAGUGGCGAACGGGUGAGUAACACGUGAGCAAUCUGUCACUGACUCUGGAUAAGCGCUGGAAACGGCGUCUACUACUGGAUACGAGCUGCGAAGGCAUCUUCAGCACCUGGAAAGAACUUCGGUCAGGGAUGAGCGAGCGGCCUAUCAGCUUGUUGGUGAGGUUACGGCACACCAAGGCGUCGCCGGGUAGCCGGCCUGAGAGGGUAGCCGGCCACACUGGGACUGAGACACGGCACAGACUCCUACGGGAGGCAACGGUGGAGAAGAUUACACAGUGGGCGAAAGCCUGAUGCAGCGACGCCGCGUGAGGGACGACAGGCUUCGGGUUGUAAACCUCUUUUAGCAGGGAAGAAGCGAAAGUGACGGUACCUGCAGAAAAAGCGCCGGCUAACUACGUG